rnacentral:lncRNA from 1 species
CCCCAUAAAUAAUCUUGUCUUUCAUUUUCCCACCUCUGUGCUGUGGCCUGAGAAUGUGAGUAAUACUCACUUUAUAUAAUUUGAGCAAAGGGUUUCGACUGCUACCUCUUGUGCAUAUAAACAGCCUGAAAAUGAGCAGAUUUAGCAGACAAUGACGUCUCUGGGCAGACUAAACAUCCAUUUCUGUUGCUGGUAGAAGAUAAUUAUGAGAAAAGAAAACACAUUCCAUUCUCAUCACCAAAAUUAGAAGGACAGCACCACUGUAUAUUGUAAGAAGAUAGAAUUCACUAUCAAGCAAGAGUCAAGCAAAUUGCAUCAUUAUGAGAAGAAGCCUGGGAGGAGCAGGACGACGGACUCCAGAACCAGCAUCGAGCUAAAGCAAUUCUCUUCACUUGCCCAGGAAAGACAAUCUACUCUACUCAAGACAAUUUACUAAACAAGCUUUAGCCAGGAAGAACAAAAACUGAAGUGACACGAUUUGAAUUACAAUUGUGUAUUAAUAAUAAAAUUUUACAAAAAAAGAAAAAAAAUAUUGUAAAACCUAUGAUAUAUCACUUAAUUUUGUUGUGCCUCAGCUCUCUCAUCUCAGAAACUAGGAGAAUGACUGUACUCACAGUACUGAGCUCACAAGCUUUCUGCUACAAGAUGAAUGCUCAUGAAUACACCUUUUGAAUGCUGACAUUCUUUUUCCAUAUUUGAGUGAUAUGCUAAGAGUCGAUGUCUAUUCCCAAACUCUUUAGGUGGGUUUUACUGAUAAUUAUAAUUAUUGCUAUGUACUUAAACUUAUUAAUAUCUGAAUAAACUAAAAUUGUAAGUGGGAGAAAUAGAAUUG